rnacentral:rRNA from 1 species
UACGUAGGGGGCGAGCGUUGUCCGGAGUUACUGGGCGUAAAGCGCUUGUAGGCGGUCCACCAAGUUUGGGGUGACAGUUGCCGACUUAAUCGGCAAAGUGCCUCAAAGACUGGCGGACUUGAGGGCCACAGAGGGACAUGGAACUCCAGGUGUAGUGGUGAAAUGCGUAGAGAUCGGGAGGAACACCCGUGGCGAAGGCGGUGGCCUGGACCUGUUGCUGACGCUGAGGCGCGAAAGCGUGGGGAGCGAUCCGG